UACUCCUUUCUGGCCUGAUGUCACCCUACAGCCAGCCUGUUCAAAGCCAUUUCGUCGAUCCAGAUGAGUUUAAAUCUCCUUCUCCAAAUCAGGCUAAAAUGCUUGAAAUUAAACCUGGAAAACACGAAAUAAAGAAGGAUGCAGUACCCAGUCUGGUUUUGGGAAAGGAGGGGGAGGGGAGAACUGUCCUCAAACUAUGAAAACAAAGGAGUUUGGCAGUCAUAAAGCGACACACAGCUUGGUGAGUUCACUUCAUAAAUACACUUUCAUUACAGCUUGCCAAGUGGUACUCAUAUUGUCGUGUUAUAAGAAAUGUUCAAUUACAUCACAGUAUAAUAUAGAUAUUAAUUUAUUUUACCACAUAGCCUUGUGUCAAACCCCAGGCUGGACUUCGUUGAGCCUGUCAUGAAAUGUAAACAUAUUCAGUGGAAUUUUUAAAAAAACGAGUUGCGGAAGUAAUUAUUUAAUUAUAUGAAUAUAAAAGAUACAAUUAUAUAAUACAAUGUUUUUGGUGUACCCUGGCAUAGCAUUUCUAAAGACUCUGUGCAAUUAUGUGUUAGACAAUCAAGCUUCUUACGAUCAGGUGGAUAAUGAGCCGGACAAGCACCAUAGCAUCAAUGAGCUUAAUACAGCUGAGUCAUUGAUAAUUUUGACAGAGGUCUCCUGAAAUAGUAAUGUUGGAGUUCAAACAGAACUGCAAUAUGAGGUUGGUAUAGUAAACAUUUACAGCUUUGAUAAAUCAUUAAAAGUUUCCCAACAGUAGCUGGCAACUUAAAUAUUUAAUAGCAUUUCAACAAAAUCAACUGAAAGACACUGAAUAUAAUUUCAGGUUUCAGAUGUUGGAGUGCAGUGUUCCCUACAGCUCAAACCAGGUACCAGAGUAAAAAUUUGUCAGGCUAAUAUUACCUCAUCAGUUACAAGCAGAAGUGUUACUGCAAAGCCAGUUACUACUGAUGCAGGUAUUUUUUGUCAACUUCUGACACAUAUGAUGUUUCCCAGUGAAAAGGAACUUGAGACUGAGGAGGAAUUUAUGGAGGUACAAGAUAAUGAUGCAGAGUAUGUUCCCGGUGAUGAGACUAUGGAUGAUGAGAUUGAAUACAUGGAUCAAAGAUGUUAUCUGGCUGCAUUACAUUUUAAUGAGAACAGUGGACGAGUGCAACUUGUGACAAAACAAGGGAACCAGCAGUGGUCCAUUUCCUAUCCGAAGACAAAGGAGGACAAGGAGUUGUGAAGCAAGUGAACAUCCCCAAUCACAUAUGACUACGUUGCUACGCUCUGGGGAGAAGUGUUGCGUCUGAGUGCCAUAUAUCCCACAAAUGCACAGGCCACACUGGAAGUUCCUGAACCUUUAACAGCACAGUCUGAUCUAGCUGAGAAGAGUGAGCUGGUUACCUAACAAUACAGUCGACUCGUUUGAAUUGAAUACAGUUGUUAAAGUUAAGUUGCCUAUGUAUUGGUUUUUUAAUUAUAGUUGCUUAGUUUUUUUAAAUAUUGUAAUUCAAAUUAUUAAAAUUUUAUUUGAAAUAUUGUAAUUAAUAGCUCUAGUGGGCAUUAACUCAUUGACUGCCAAGGGUGACCAUUAGCUGCAUUAUACCAAAUGUGAUUACUCUUGGGUAUCUAGCGCUGGCAGUCAAAUUAUUUUUUUAAUAUAUAUUUUUUUAUAA